UACGAAGGGGGCUAGCGUUGCUCGGAAUCACUGGGCGUAAAGGGUGCGUAGGCGGGUCUUUAAGUCAGGGGUGAAAUCCUGGAGCUCAACUCCAGAACUGCCUUCGAUACUGGCGAUCUUGAGUCCGGAAGAGGUGAGUGGAACUCCUAGUGUAGAGGUGGAAUUCGUAGAUAUUAGGAAGAACACCAGUGGCGAAGGCGGCUCACUGGUCCGGUACUGACGCUGAGGUGGCGAAAGCGUGGGGAGCAAACAGG
rnacentral:rRNA from 1 species